rnacentral:rRNA from 1 species
UGGGGAAUAUUGCACAAUGGGCGCAAGCCUGAUGCAGCCAUGCCGCGUGUGUGAAGAAGGCCUUCGGGUUGUAAAGCACUUUCAGCGGGGAGGAAGGCGUUAAGGUUAAUAACCUUGGCGAUUGACGUUACCCGCAGAAGAAGCACCGGCUAACUCCGUGCCAGCAGCCGCGGUAAUACGGUGGGUGCAAGCGUUAAUCGGAAUUACUGGGCGUAAAGCGCACGCAGGCGGUCUGUCAAGUCGGAUGUGAAAUCCCCGGGCUCAACCUGGGAACUGCAUUCGAAACUGGCAGGCUAGAGUCUUGUAGAGGGGGGUAGAAUUCCAGGUGUAGCGGUGAAAUGCGUAGAGAUCUGGAGGAAUACCGGUGGCGAAGGCGGCCCCCUGGACAAAGACUGACGCUCAGGUGCGAAAGCGUGGGGAGCAAACAGG